AAAUCAAGGCACCAGAACCACUCCUCUACAACUGUCAGUCUGAGCAAAAGAUGGAAGGAUCCCAUUCGUACGCAAGCCUUGACGAUGAAGACAUACAACAGGAAUCAGGCAAGUUGGUGAACCUUGAGGUUUCUUCAGGAUUGAACUACAACUACUGGUUCCUGCCUAGUGUCUGCCUGCCGAGAGGACUGGACUGGACUGUUGCUGAGUCAUAGUUGGUGUUUGCUACGGGACUGAACUGCUGCCAAAGAGGACAAGCUUGCCUCAAAGAACUGAACAAGUCCACUUCCCCCAUAUCCUGAUAUCUUUUCUCUUCCACUACCUCUGCUGGGUGGUGGGCUAGAGGAGAGAUUGAACCCUUAUUAAAAGUAGGUUGCAAAAAAUUCAUGCCUACACAUGGCCCUGAGC
rnacentral:lncRNA from 1 species